AUCACUCUCGCUCUCUCUUUCUCUCUCAUCAUCUCUCUCUUUCUCUCUCGCCUGCUCUCUUUUCCUCUCUAUCGAUUCUUGGCCGAAAUCACAGAAGUUAAUUGAGAAAAAGUCGAAUUCAUGAACGAGGUUUGGUGGAGUGGGGUAUAGGAAAGGAAUUUGAGGUUUUAAUCGGGAAAUCCCAAUUCGAAUUAUUGGCAGAAUUAGGGCUGCGUGAAGAAGGCUUUAUCAAGGGGCUACAACGAUCAGGUCGCCUCCAGUGGUGGUCGCAUCAGUUGGUUGCCGGAAUUGGGCAAGAAGUUCAGCCCGCUCGCCGGAGCCUUGAAGGAAAUAGUAUUUGCUGCCGCACCUGUUUUCGAAGCCAAAAUCGAAGGGUUUGGAGUGAGAAUUUGGGAAUCAUUCCUUGACGAAACUCGUAGAGGACCUCGAAAACUAUUGGUAAGUGUAAAAUUGUAUAGAGUUAGAAUAUGUUUUGAAGCUGAUUAGAGGUCCGAAUUAAGUGACGGUAAAUCUGUUAAAACAGGGCAGUUUUGAGUAUUCGUUUUACGGGGCUGUUUAUGUUAUGUUGAGCUAAUAAUUUAGGCUAUGUGUCUUCUAAGAACUUGUAGAUUACAUUUUGAGGUUCAAUUUGGUGUAUUGUUUGGCCAAAUUGGAUAACUUUACAAAUUGUUAUGAUUUUUCAAAUAAGCUGUACCAGAAAUAAUCUUUCCAAAAUCCCGGCAGUUCUGUAAUGCUGGUUUGAGGCUGUUUCUGCUAUUUUCGGUUCCGAAUUUGGGACUAAAGCCUUCUGUGAACUCGUAGGAUUUUCUGUUAGCUUUCAUUUGACGUAUCAUGUGAUCAAUUUGGAUGAGCGUGUUAAUUGUUAUGAUUUUUCAAACAAACUGUGCCAACAACGAAUUUUCCAAAAACCUGGCAGUUUCAUGUACUCAUCUUCCGGGGCUGUUAUUGCUGUGUUAGGUCGAUAAUUUGGGCUCAGGGUCUUCAGUAAAACUUUAGACACACAUGUUAGCUUUAAUUCGAUAAAUCGUUUAGGUUAUUCGGAUAAGUAAGGUGAUCGUAACGAUUGUUCGAAUAAGCUGUGGCAGCAAGACAUUCUUAAUAAAUGUUUCAAGAAAUUGAGUAUGUGGUAUAGUGGAAUAAUACGGUUAUAUUAGCAUUUAGAAUGUUGUUAAGUGAUGAAUAUUUUUAUAGGUAUCGAGCGUUCUAAGGUUCUCAUUCAAGAGCAUGACUCGAGAGUAAGGUGUUUUUUAUAACACUUGCAUUGGACUUCAGUGUCAGGUGCAUUAGUGGACGAUUGUGUUGAAGGCUCUUAGGAGUAAAAGUUAUUCAAAGAUUUUAGAGAGUUUAAUCUAGUGUUGUGUUUAAGAAUGAUUGUAAUUCGAGAACUAUGAAUACGAGAUUAGUUGUGGCAUUUGGUUGUUACGUGUAUUUGAUAUUAGUGUUGAGAAAUUAAGUAGGAGACAUUGUAUUUAUCAGAAGUCAUAGUAUUUAUUUAUUGUAAUGGAAAAAAAAAAAAGUACAGUGUAUUUCGAUAGUGGGCGUCACAGCAAAUGUGGGUAAAAUUAUUGCGGUACAUUUGAAAACCUUUGAAAAAUAAAUUUUCGAUGCAA